AUUAAACGCUGGCGGCAUGCCUUACACAUGCAUGUCGAACGGCAGCACGGGGGCAACCCUGGUGGCGAGUGGCGAACGGGUGAGUAAAGCAUCGGAACGUGCCCUGGAGUGGGGGGAUAACGUAGCGAAAGUUACGCUAAUACCGCAUAUUCUGUGAGCAGGAAAGCAGGGGAUCGCAAGACCUUGCGCUCUGGGAGCGGCCGAUGUCGGAUUAGCUAGUUGGUGGGGUAAAGGCCUACCAAGGCGACGAUCCGUAGCGGGUCUGAGAGGAUGAUCCGCCACACUGGGACUGAGACACGGCCCAGACUCCUACGGGAGGCAGCAGUGGGGAAUUUUGGACAAUGGGCGCAAGCCUGAUCCAGCCAUGCCGCGUGAGCGAAGAAGGCCU
rnacentral:rRNA from 1 species